rnacentral:rRNA from 1 species
AUGUGCCACGCGCCGUCACUGCCGGGAUUCGUGUCACGGAUCCGACCGCGGUGGUACCAAAACCCGUGGAAGGUGGCCGCCGCGGUGGUUGUCGCCCCCUACGCAGCCAAGUUCAUUCUUUACACCGCGAUAAGCAAAGAAGAGACCGUUCCCUACACCAAUCGGGCCCAUCGUGUCCUCCUGACCUCAUCGGAGGAACGCAAGUUUGGAGACGAAAUCUUCAACGAUCGCAAGAUGAAGUACGGCAAAGACAUCCUUGGCCCGUCUGACCCGAGGACUGUCCGCGUCCGCCGCAUCGCCUCUGAUAUCAUCCAUGGAGUCCGCCGCCUCUUCCCCAACAACGCCAUCCACGACGAUGAUGUUAAACAGGGGAAGGUUGUGCUGCGGCCACAGACGGAGCAUCUCAAUGACCUUAACUGGGAGGUGAUCGUUGUCAAGGAUGAAAAAGUAAACGCGUUCAGCACGUUUGGCGGGAAGAUUGUAAUCUACACUGGAUACCUCGAGCAUUUGAAGACCGAUGCUGAGCUUGCCACCGUUAUUGCGCAUGAGGCCGCACAUGUUGUUGCAAGGCAUAGCAUGGAGUUGUUGAGUUUAAUUCCGUUCUACAAACUAAUGCCCUUCUCACGAAGGGCCGAAUUGGAGGCGGAUCACAUCGGAUUGAUGAUAAUGGCCGCCGCUGGUUUCGAUCCACGCGUAGCCCCUCAGUUCCGCAAGAAGAUUGGAGAGAUCAUUGGAGACACGAAAUUAAUGGACUACAUUUGUACUCAUCCUUCGUUUGAGACAAGAUCACGGAUGUUAUCACGAAAGGAGGUCAUGGAGGAGGCGUUGGAGCUGUACAAACAACAACGUAUGCGCAGGGAGAAGUGCCAAUCUGUGUUUUCCCUAUGGUGGAACGGCCUCGGAUACCGAUCUUGCUAG